rnacentral:rRNA from 1 species
UACAGAGGUCCCAAGCGUUGUUCGGAUUCAUUGGGCGUAAAGGGUGCGUAGGCGGCGCGGUAAGUCGAGUGUGAAAUCUCGGAGCUUAACUUCGAAACUGCAUUCGAUACUGCCGUGCUUGAGGACUGGAGAGGAGACUGGAAUUUACGGUGUAGCGGUGAAAUGCGUAGAUAUCGUAAGGAAGACCAGUGGCGAAGGCGGGGUCUCUGGACAGUUCCUGACGCUGAGGCACGAAGGCCAGGGGAGCAAACGGG